GACGAACGCUGGCGGCGUGCUUAACACAUGCAAGUCGAACGGAAAGGCCCUGCUUUUGUGGGGGGCUCGAGUGGCGAACGGGUGAGUAACACGUGAGUAACCUGCCCUUGACUUUGGGAUAACUUCAGGAAACUGGGGCUAAUACCGGAUAGGAGCUCCUGCUGCAUGGUGGGGGUUGGAAAGUUUCGGCGGUUGGGGAUGGACUCGCGGCUUAUCAGCUUGUUGGUGGGGUAGUGGCUUACCAAGGCUUUGACGGGUAGCCGGCCUGAGAGGGUGACCGGCCACAUUGGGAAUGAGAUACGGCCCAGACUGCUACGGGAAGCAGCAGUGGGGAAUAUUGCACAAUGGGCGGAAGCCUGAUGCAGAAACGCCGCGUGCGGGAUGACGGCCUUCGGGUUGUAAACCGCUUUCGCCUGUGACGAAGCGUGAGUGAGGGUAAUGGGUAAAGAAGCACCGGCUAACUACGUG
rnacentral:rRNA from 1 species